CUGAACUCGCACUGAAAUUAGGGAAGGAGAAGGUAAACAACACUUUGCUGAUGUGUGAUCCAGUUCUCUGCAAUGAGAAGUGCCCCCUGCACGAGGCUACAGCUGUGUGUGGGGCUGUCCCGGUUAGCAGAGCUGCGGGGUCAGGGGUGCAAAAGGCACUCAGUGCUUACCCAGAAGGCUUUCUUUUGCCUCGAUCAAGGAACCAAGGAAUGGAGAGCCAGAGACCGUGGCAGUGUGUGGCAGAGCACAGCUUUGCGGGACUGAUGUGCACCAGCACCAAGAGGAUGCUGUAGGUGAUGGCCAGCGGGGAGCAGCCAGGGAUGUCUCUGGGUCUCAGUGUCAGCAUGGCCAGAGCCACUUGGUACCCAACUGACUGACCUGCUUCAGUGGAAGAUGGCCAAGUUGCUUAGAAAAAAUAAAAGUUGAAGCAAGCAAAUAUCAGGAGGGACGCAAGCCUUUACCCGCAGGCAGAAGGACGUGGAAGUUUUAUUGUUUUUCCUUUGGUGGUGUCCUUUUACAGUUUGGAUGCACAAUCCCAGCAAAACUUGGCUGGGAUGCAUCCGUGGCCGCUUCCCACCGCCUGCUGCCCUGCUCUGCUCCUGCAUGCAGAACUCGAAUAUGCUGAUGAAUGCAGCGUAAGCAGGAAAAAGGGGAGCACAGCAUGAUCGGAUGCAUUAACGGCUGCCUGCACGAGGCCCCUGUUCGUGUCCUGUGGUGUGUGUGAUAUUUCAUGUGACAGAGCUUUGCGACGCUUCAACUCUGUCCUGUCCGCAAAAUGACAGUCUGAUCAUCAUUGCUUUCUAUAGUUUGGGAAUGGUGGCAAAAGAGAUUUACUUUCCAGCCCCAGAUACUCUGAUCCUCUAAGGCAGCGUCCUACAAACCCAGGUACAGGUUCUUCUGUAUUGGCUGCAAGUGCUGGAACACUUUCUUCAUACGAAUGAUAGAGAUGUGGAAGGAUAAAACCAAAAUAUGCACUGCUGCAGUUUGUACAGCGUAAAAAAAUAAGGGAGCAUAAUCCAAAUAACAACAUCUAGUGCUUUUACAGGGCUCCGUGCAUAUGGCAUAAAUGACAGCUAAUUAAACUUUAUAUCCUGCCUGCAAGAUAAGCGUAUAAUUAG
rnacentral:lncRNA from 1 species